rnacentral:rRNA from 1 species
GUCCUGGCCCUAAACGAUGUCGACUAGGUCGUGGCGGCUCUGACGCCGUCGCGGCCGAAGCAAAAGUGCUAAGUCGACCGCCUGGGAAGUACGGUCGCAAGGCUAAAACUCAAAGGAAUUGACGGGGGCUCACACAAGCGGUGGAGCAUGUGGUUUAAUUCGAAGCAACGCGCAGAACCUUACCUGGGCUUGACAUGCCAGGAUUAUCCCUAUGAAAGUAGGGUAGGCCCUUCGGGUACGAACUGGUACAGGUGCUGCAUGGCUGUCGU